GUUUUCUUAAUAGCAACAGCUAGCAAUCUGACAAAUUUGAAGUAUCAUCUCAGUCCUCGACGAAGUGCCUGCAAAAUAAAGAAAGAUAGAGAUGGUCAUCUCUGAGGCCGAGGCAAACUCCUAAGCCACAAAGAGCUUAAACACAGGGAGUCAGCAUCAAGUGAAGAAAAAGAAGACCAAAUUCCAGCUAAGGUGUCGCGUCUACUGGCCAAGUACAUGUACUGUAGACACAGAAAUAAAAGUGGAGCACUGGGCGAGAGGGAGUCAGCUAGUAGACAGUUUGCAAGGUAUUUGGAAGCUGUGUCUAACCCGACUGUGUUACCACUAGUGCUCUGCAGUUCUGGCAGGAAAUGGCCAAGAGACUUCCAUCAUUGUUCCAACUGGCUUACAAGGUGCUUGUAGUCCCAGUGGACAGGAUGACAGAGGCUGGCGAACAAAAUCUGUAAAACAGAGGGCAGGAAGGGACAAAGGUCCAACCAGGAUUUAGAGGAUCUCUUAUCAGCUACUGUUAUCGCCCUCAAGGGAUUUUGUUAAAAGCUGAGUGCAAAACGGCAGCUGGGGCUUGACCUUCGCUUGACUGGGUGGUGAGUGGGCUUUGCCUAUUGUUUUCUCAACAAACAUCCAGUUUCAUGAUAUGCUCAAAACUAGUGUGGCAUUCCAUUUUGACCAUUUAUGAAACCAUAUUUUCCCAUUUUGAUCGCUAAAAUCGGUGCUCAAACGCCCGAGUUACGUUACAUCUUUGCGCCUUGCAAGUGCAUGAAUAACACAAUGCAAUAGAAGGUGUUUCACGCGAUGUAUAAUAAAAUGAAACUGAAGUAUACGAAAAAUGGAUGCUUAAUUGCCUUUCUUCACAUUCUGACUUAAUUGUUCACAAAUCCUCAAUGAAUCUCAUAGGUCAUUUAUCCCAAAGUUUAAGUUGGACUAUAGUUUCUCGACUAUAGAUGGCGCUGACGAUGCCAAAUACAUUGGGUGCAUGAAUGAAGGAUCAAAGUACAGUAUACUUUCAUAUGAGAGCAGAAGGGCGAAAAACUACGGUUGAAAAAUGGUCCC